AAAAAGUGAAGUCCGGAAAUCACUAAAAAAAAACGGGGCGUAAUCUGAAAAGCCACAUGAGUAGGAAAUAA
rfam:Bacteroidetes bacterium RIFOXYA12_FTLL_38_20 rifixya3_full_scaffold_545, whole genome shotgun sequence.